UUUGCUGCAGAUUUUUUUUGUUUUCCUUUAUAUUCACAAGGUUUCUGUGAAGAGAGGGAUGUUUCUUAAAUCGCCAGGCAAGAAGUGCGUCACAGAUAAAGGACUAACUUUGUGAACAUACUCCUGGGGUAGUAAGGACAAAAAUGAACAAUUCUUAUGUAAUUAGUCACCAGACACAAGUGUUCUAGGAUAAGAUCUUCUGAAGUACCAUAGCAGAAAUAUAAAUGGAAUACUUAGAGUUGCUGUUGUCGGCUAUUAAAAAUAUGCAUAUUCUGCUGUCUCCCUAGGGAGAAUGAACGAUACUUCUGGCUUCAAGGUCAGCUGUGUCAGGAACCAUCUGAAAAUUAGUGUGUGGCUCAGAUCUCAGGUGGGUCAUUUUGAUAUAUUUGAUCUGGAUGACUCUGAGGCAGCAUGAGAACUGAUGAUGAAAUGAGAGGAGUAUUUACCUCGGUCUGAGGCAAAGAGGGGGAGGAAGGUGGUGAGUGGGCCUGCCUCUUGGCACACUCCAUACUUAGGGUAGCUUAAGCCAAUAAUGAAACAGCACCUAAGGGUCUGCUUGCUAAACUUGGAGGUAAAAUGUGUUUCUGGUAUUAGGGAAGAC